UACGUAGGGGGCAAGCGUUGUCCGGAAUCAUUGGGCGUAAAGCGCGUGUAGGCGGCUUGAUAAGUCCGCUCUGAAAGCCCGGGGCUCAACCCCGGGAGGCGGGUGGAUACUGUCAAGCUCGAGUCCGGAAGAGGCGAGUGGAAUUCCUGGUGUAGCGGUGAAAUGCGCAGAUAUCAGGAGGAACACCAAUGGCGAAGGCAGCUCGCUGGGACGUGACUGACGCUGAGAAGCGAAAGCAUGGGGGAGCGAACAGG
rnacentral:rRNA from 1 species